rnacentral:rRNA from 1 species
UACAUGCAAGUCGAGCGGACCGACGGGAGCUUGCUCCCUUAGGUCAGCGGCGGACGGGUGAGUAACACGUGGGUAACCUGCCUGUAAGACUGGGAUAACUCCGGGAAACCGGGGCUAAUACCGGAUGCUUGAUUGAGCCGCAUGGUUCAAUCAUAAAAGGUGGCUUUCAGCUACCACUUACAGAUGGACCCGCGGCGCAUUAGCUAGUUGGUGAGGUAACGGCUCACCAAGGCGACGAUGCGUAGCCGACCUGAGAGGGUGAUCGGCCACACUGGGACUGAGACACGGCCCAGACUCCUACGGGGAGGCAGCAGUAGGGAAUCUUCCGCAAUGGACGAAAGUCUGACGGAGCAACGCCGCGUGAGUGAUGAAAGGUUUUCGGAUCGUAAAACUCUGUUGUUAGGGAAGAACAAGUACCGUUCGAAUAGGGCGGCACCUUUGACGGUACCUUAACCAGAAAGCCACGGGCUAACUACGUGCCAGCAGCCGCGGUAAUACGUAGGUGGCAAGCGUUGUCCGGAAUUAUUGGGCGUAAAGCGCGCGCAGGGGGUUUCUUAAGUCUGAUGUGAAAGCCC